rnacentral:rRNA from 1 species
GACGAACGCUGGCGGCGUGCCUAAUACAUGCAAGUUGAGCGCUGAAGGUUGGUACUUGUACCAACUGGAUGAGCAGCGAACGGGUGAGUAACGCGUGGGGAAUCUGCCUUUGAGCGGGGGACAACAUUUGGAAACGAAUGCUAAUACCGCAUAAAAACUUUAAACACAAGUUUUAAGUUUGAAAAAUGCAAUUGCAUCACUCAAAGAUGAUCCCGCGUUGUAUUAGCUAGUUGGUGAGGUAAAGGCUCACCAAGGCGAUGAUACAUAGCCGACCUGAGAGGGUGAUCGGCCACAUUGGGACUGAGACCCGGCCCAAACUCCUCCGGGAGGCAGCAGUAGGGAAUCUUCGGCAAUGGACGAAAGUCUGACCGAGCAGCGCCGCGUGAGUGAAGAAGGUUUUCGGAUCGUAAAACUCUGUUGGUAGAGAAGAACGUUGGUGAGAGUGGAAAGCUCAUCAAGUGACGGUAACUACCCAGAAAGGGACGGCUAACUACGUG